CUGAAUCUGAUUGUGACUGAUUUCUAAGCUGCUUCACAUAAACAGAUCAUGAUCGAUACAGAUUCUGCUGCUAUUACAACAGUGCUGGGAUGUAACCCAAAGAUUUGUUUUAUUACAGUCAUUGGAAAGCUCUGUUUUAAAAGGCAGUGCACAGAAGCCAUUAUUCGUUUUUGUCAGACAGGGGAAGAACUACAGACUGUUUUUACUGUAUUUUAAUGCGUCUCAUGUUUACACCUGAUAAUGCCUUCAAUUGUGAAUUGCAGCUGCAAAAGUGUGACUCCAUCUGUUUUAAGCUUUGUGUGUGUGUGUGUGUGUGUGUGUUUGAAUGAGGACAUUUUCAUGUGAGCUGGAGUUGUAUCAUCAGACAGUAGGCAGGUGGCGAUGUUUCUCUGCAGCCUAUGAACUAUAACUACAAUGAGCUCUUACAAUAAAUCACCUGAUUAAAGAGCU